rnacentral:rRNA from 1 species
AACAAACGCUGGCGGCGCGUUUUAAGCAUGCAAGUCGGACGGCAAGAGCUGUAGCAAUAUGGCUCCUAGAGUGGCGAACGGGUGAGUAACACGUAGGUGGUCUGCCCUUGGAUGGGGGAUAGUCCGUGGAAACACGGGGGAAUACCGCAUGAGGCCGUGUGGGUAGAGCCAUGAGGGGAAAGGUGCAAUUGCACCGUCGGGGGAUGAGCCUGCGGUCCAAUAGGUAGUUGGCGGGGUAAGGGCCCACCAAGCCUACGAUGGAUAGCCGGCCUGAGAGGGUGUACGGCCACACUGGAACUGAGACACGGUCCAGACUCCUACGGGAGGCAGCAGCUAAGAAUCUUCCGCAAUGGGGGAAACCCUGACGGAGCGACGCCGCGUGGACGAUGGAGGCCGUAAGGUUGUAAAGUCCUUUUCCUGGUGAAGAAUGACCGUGGGAGUGGAAAGCCCAUGGGAUGACGUUAGCCAGGGAAUAAGCCCCGGCCAAUUACGUGCCAGCAGCCGCAGUAAAAC